rnacentral:rRNA from 1 species
GACGAACGCUGGCGGCGUGCCUAAUACAUGCAAGUCGAACGCUUUUUCUUUCACCGGAGCUCGCUCCACCGAAAGAAAAAGAGUGGCGAACGGGUGAGUAACACGUGGGUAACCUGCCCAUCAGAAGGGGAUAACACUUGGAAACAGGUGCUAAUACCGUAUAACACUAUUUUCGGCAUGGAAGAAAGUUGAAAGGCGCUUUUGCGUAACUGAUGGAUGGACCCGGGGUGCAUUAGCUAGUUGGUGAGGUAACGGCUCACCAAGGCAACGAUGCAUAGCCGACCUGAGAGGGUGAUCGGCCACACUGGGACUGAGACACGGCCCAGACUCCUACGGGAGGCAGCAGUAGGGAAUCUUCGGCAAUGGACGAAAGUCUGACCGAGCAACGCCGCGUGAGUGAAGAAGGUUUUCGGAUCGUAAAACUCUGUUGUUAGAGAAGAACAAGGAUGAGAGUAAAACGUUCAUCCCUUGACGGUAUCUAACCAGAAAGCCACGGCUAACUACGUGCCAGCCGCCGCCGUAA